rnacentral:rRNA from 1 species
AUUGAACGCUGGCGGCAGGCCUAACACAUGCAAGUCGAGCGGAUGAAGGGAGCUUGCUCCUGGAUUCAGCGGCGGACGGGUGAGUAAUGCCUAGGAAUCUGCCUGGUAGUGGGGGAUAACGUCCGGAAACGGGCGCUAAUACCGCAUACGUCCCGAGGGAGAAAGUGGGGGAUCUUCGGACCUCACGCUAUCAGAUGAGCCUAGGUCGGAUUAGCUAAUUGGUGGGGUAAAGGCCUACCAAGGCGACGAUCCGUAACUGGUCUGAGAGGAUGAUCAGUCACACUGGAACUGAGACACGGUCCAGACUCCUACGGGAGGCAGCAGUGGGGAAUAUUGGACAAUGGGCGAAAGCCUGAUCCAGCCAUGCCGCGUGUGUGAAGAAGGUCUUCGGAUUGUAAAGCACUUUAAGUUGGGUGGAAGGGCAGUAAGUUAAUACCUUGCUGUUUUGACGUUACCAACAGAAUAAGCACCGGCUAACUUCGUG